GCGGGGGUCGCCCAGUCUGGCCAACGGCGCUAGGUUGAGGGCCUAGUCUCUUAGGAGUUCGUGAGUUCAAAUCUCACCCUCCGCA
rnacentral:tRNA from 1 species